GACGAGGGGUCCUAGCGUUGUUCGGAAUCACUGGGCGUAAAGCGUAUGUAGGCGGCCUGUUAAGUCAGUUGUGAAAUCCCACGGCUCAACCGUGGAAUUGCAAUUGAAACUGGCGGGCUUGAGUGCAGGAGAGGUUGGUAGAAUACCUGGUGUAGUGGUGAAAUACGUAGAUAUCAGGUGGAAUACCGGUGGCGAAGGCGGCCAACUGGCCUAGCACUGACGCUGAGAUACGAAAGCGUGGGGAUCAAACAGG
rnacentral:rRNA from 1 species